UACGUAGGGUGCAAGCGUUAAUCGGAAUUACUGGGCGUAAAGCGUGCGCAGGCGGUUCGCCAAGUCUGAUGUGAAAGCCCCGGGCUCAACCUGGGAACUGCAUUGGAAACUAACGGGCUCGAGUGUGGCAGAGGGGGGUGGAAUUCCACGUGUAGCAGUGAAAUGCGUAGAGAUGUGGAGGAACACCGAUAGCGAAGGCAGCCCCCUGGGCUAACACUGACGCUCAGGCACGAAAGCGUGGGGAGCAAACAGG
rnacentral:rRNA from 1 species